CCUACGGGUGGCAGCAGUGAGGAAUAUUGGUCAAUGGCCGGAAGGCUGAACCAGCCAAGCCGCGUGAAGGACGAAGGUGCCAAGCAUUGUAAACUUCUUUUGUCAAGGGACAAAAUCAGGCUCGAGAGCCUGACCGAGGGUACUUGAAGAAAAAGCAUCGGCUAACUCCGUGCCAGCAGCCGCGGUAAUACGGAGGAUGCGAGCGUUAUCCGGAUUUAUUGGGUUUAAAGGGUGCGUAGGCGGGCUGUUAAGUCAGCGGUAAAAGUCCGGGGCUCAACCCCGGCGAGCCGUUGAAACUGGCUGUCUUGAGUUGUCGAGAGGUAUGCGGAAUGCGCGGUGUAGCGGGGAAAUGCUUAGAUAUUGCGCAGAACUCCGAUUGCGAAGGCAGCAUACCGGCGGCAAUCUGACGCUGAGGCACGAAAGCGUGGGGAUCGAACAGUAUUAGAUACCCGUGUAGUC
rnacentral:rRNA from 1 species